CUAGCCGUGACGUUAACAACAGAAGAAGCACCGGCUAACUCCGUGCCAGCAGCCGCGGUAAUACGGAGGGUGCGAGCGUUAAUCGGAAUUACUGGGCGUAAAGCGCACGCAGGCGGUUUGUUAAGCUAGAUGUGAAAGCCCCGGGCUCAACCUGGGAUGGUCAUUUAGAACUAAAAGACUAGAGUCUUGGAGAGGGGAGUGGAAUUCCAGGUGUAGCGGUGAAAUGCGUAGAUAUCUGGAGGAACAUCAGUGGCGAAGGCGACUCCCUGGCCAAAGACUGACGCUCAUGUGCGAAAGUGUGGGUAGCGAACAGGAUUAGAUACCCUGGUAGUCCACACCGUAAACGCUGUCUACUAGCUGUGUGUGCCUUUAAGGCGUGCGUAGCGAAGCUAACGCGCUAAGUAGACCGCC
rnacentral:rRNA from 1 species